rnacentral:rRNA from 1 species
AUGAACGCUAGCUACAGGCUUAACACAUGCAAGUCGAGGGGCAGCAUGGUCUUAGCUUGCUAAGGCCGAUGGCGACCGGCGCACGGGUGAGUAACACGUAUCCAACCUGCCGUCUACUCUUGGACAGCCUUCUGAAAGGAAGAUUAAUACAAGAUGGCAUCAUGAGUCCACAUGUUCACAUGAUUAAAGGUAUUCCGGUAGACGAUGGGGAUGCGUUCCAUUAGAUAGUAGGCGGGGUAACGGCCCACCUAGUCUUCGAUGGGUAGGGGUUCUGAGAGGAAGGUCCCCCACAUUGGAACUGAGACACGGUCCAAACUCCUACGGGAGGCAGCAGUGAGGAAUAUUGGUCAAUGGGCGAGAGCCUGAACCAGCCAAGUAGCGUGAAGGAUGACUGCCCUAUGGGUUGUAAACUUCUUUUAUAAAGGAAUAAAGUCGGGUAUGGAUACCCGUUUGCAUGUACUUUAUGAAUAAGGAUCGGCUAACUCCGUGCCAGCAGCCGCGGUAAUACGGAGGAUCCGAGCGUUAUCCGGAUUUAUUGGGUUUAAAGGGAGCGUAGAUGGAUGUUUAAGUCAGUUGUGAAAGUUUGCGGCUCAACCGUAAAAUUGCAGUUGAUACUGGAUAUCUUGAGUGCAGUUGAGGCAGGCGGAAUUCGUGGUGUAGCGGUGAAAUGCUUAGAUAUCACGAAGAACUCCGAUUGCGAAGGCAGCCUGCUAAGCUGCAACUGACAUUGAGGCUCGAAAGUGUGGGUAUCAAACAGGAUUAGAUACCCUGGUAGUCCACACGGUAAACGAUGAAUACUCGCUGUUUGCGAUAUACUGCAAGCGGCCAAGCGAAAGCGUUAAGUAUUCCACCUGGGGAGUACGCCGGCAACGGUGAAACUCAAAGGAAUUGACGGGGGCCCGCACAAGCGGAGGAACAUGUGGUUUAAUUCGAUGAUACGCGAGGAACCUUACCCGGGCUUAAAUUGCAGAUGAAUUACGGUGAAAGCCGUAAGCCGCAAGGCAUCUGUGAAGGUGCUGCAUGGUUGUCGUCAGCUCGUGCCGUGAGGUGUCGGCUUAAGUGCCAUAACGAGCGCAACCCUUGUUGUCAGUUACUAACAGGUUCCGCUGAGGACUCUGACAGGACUGCCAUCGUAAGAUGUGAGGAAGGUGGGGAUGACGUCAAAUCAGCACGGCCCUUACGUCCGGGGCUACACACGUGUUACAAUGGGGGGUACAGAGGGCCGCUACCACGCGAGUGGAUGCCAAUCCCCAAAACCUCUCUCAGUUCGGACUGGAGUCUGCAACCCGACUCCACGAAGCUGGAUUCGCUAGUAAUCGCGCAUCAGCCACGGCGCGGUGAAUACGUUCCCGGGCCUUGUACACACCGCCCGUCAAGCCAUGGGAGCCGGGGGUACCUGAAGUGCGUAACCGCGAGGAGCGCCCUAGGGUAAAACUGGUGACUGGGGCU